UGAUCGAAUUCGCGAAAAAAACAAUGAUAAUUUGUGGAGUUUGGAGGCUGGAAAUGAAAAGCUUAUCCAGAUUUCAAAAAAUAUUAUAUUCCAUACAUUCCGUUAUUAUUCAAACAAUUAACAUGAUUAUUCCGAUACUUCUGACUGCUAAUUUACCCGUUCUUUUUAAAGAAGACAUAUCUGGAGCAUUUCAGGCACUCUCUAUGAUUCUAUUUUGCAUCCUAGCAAACUUGAAAGGAAUUAUGUGUCAGUCGAAAUGUUUUUUGAAGCUACAGAAAAUUGUGUUGGAACAUGAAACGAUACUUCUAGAAGGAAAAGAUGAAGAUGUGCAUAAAAUAUACACAACACAUGUUCAUUACAGUAAGAAACUUUCGAAGUUCUUUCUACUAGCAGGUGCUUUGGCAGCAUCAGUUCUGUUCGAAAUGGGUUGCUUAGAUAGCUACAAAGUUCACAAAAUGCAAAAACACACGAACGUGUCAUUAGAGAAACCUUUACCGCUUAAAUUAUGGUAUCCUUGGGACAAAAAUAAAUACCACAUCUUUUUGAUGUUGAGCCAGUUCGUUGAGAUAGCUGUAUCAGCCUUUUAUGUAGCGGUGGCACAAAUAUUUACUACAACGCUGCUAACGUUCUUAAGGGCAAAGCUUAAAAUAUUGCAGCACCAAUUUAGAAAUUUUGGUUUACAUUUGAACCAUUUUGACGAAGUGGAAACUAUUCAAAAAUUAUGCUUCAAACACCAAACAUUAAUUCAAAUAAUAAAAUCUGUUAAUGACGUGAUGAGAAAUAUUAUCUUCUUCGAAUUUAGUAUGUCAUCAGUGAUGUUUGCAGCAGGAAUUUUCCAAGUUAUAGCGAAGCAGGAUCUGCUUUUUAAUAUUGAAUUUUCCGUUUCGAUGAUCAGUUUUUUGAUGCUUCUCGCUUGGAAUGCCAACGAAAUUAGGACGGAGAGUUCCCAGUUAGCAAUGGCACUUUAUGAGAGUAGAUGGUAUGAACAAACUCACCAAACAAAAGUCAUUAUGCAAUUCAUGCUGAUGAGAUGUCAGAAACCUUUAAGCAUAAAUAUUGGCCCACUAGGUCCAAUAACAGUAGAUGCCGCCAUGUCUUUCACAAAAAAAACAAUGAUAAUUUGUGGUAUUUGGAGGCUGAAAAUAAAAAGCUGGUCUACAUUUCAAAAUAUAUUGUAUUUUAUUUAUUCAGUUAUAUUUCAAAUAACUAACAUGAUGAUUCCGACGCUUCUGGCUGCUAAUUUACCUGUUCUUUUCAAGACUGACGUUUCCGGAGCAUUUCAGGCGAUCUCGAUGAUUUUAUUUGGCACCAUGGCAAACAUGAAAGGAAUUAUGUGCCAGUCCAAAGAUUUUUUGAAGCUACAAACGAUGUUUAUGGAAGACGAAGCUAUGCUUUUAUCAGGAAAUGACCAGGAAGCCAAUAAAAUAUACACAAAACACAUUAUAUACAGUAAAAAACUUUCCAAGUUUUUUUUAUUAGCUGGAGGUUUGGCGGCAUCGUUUCUAAUAGAAACGGGAUGCGAAAAUAGUUACAAAGUUCACAAACUGGGAAAGCGAGUAAACGUAUCACUGGAGAGCCCUUUGCCGCUUAAAUUAUGGUAUCCCUGGGACAAAAAUAGGUACCACAUUUUGACUCUCAUGAGUCAACUUCUUGACAUCGCUGUGACAGCCUUUUAUGUAGCCGUAGUACAAAUAUUUACUACGACAAUACUUAUUUUCCUAAGAGCAAAGCUUAAAAUAAUGGAGCACCAGUUUCGAAAUUUUGGUACGAGCUACAUUAAUCGCGACAUUAUGACGAAUGGAGUAGAUACAGUACGAAGGUUAUGCGUAAAACAUCAAAGACUAAUUGAAUUAAUAAAUUCUGUCAAUGAGGUGCUGAGAAGUAUUAUUUUCUUCGAAUUCAGUAUGUCAUCACUGAUGUUUGCGUCGGGAAUAUUGCAAAUUUUAGCGAGGCAGGAUCUUCUUUUUAAUAUUGAAUUCUCUAUUUCGAUGAUUAGCUUUUUGAUGCUUCUCGCCUGGAAUGCUAACCAAAUUAGGACGGAGAGUUCCAAGUUAGCAACGGCUCUUUAUGAAAGUCGAUGGUAUGAACAAACACCGCAAACAAAAAUCAUUAUGCAAUUCAUGCUAAUGAGAUGUCAAAGGCCUUUAAGUAUCAAUAUUGGACCGUUCGGUCCAAUCACACUGGACGCUGCCAUCUCUCGAUUUAAACUGGCCUAUUCGUAUAGCACAAUUAUGUCAGGUGAUAAUUAGAACAUUUCUUGAUCCCUUAAGAUGUUAAUGUUUUAUUUAAUAUUAGUAAUAAACUUUGUACGUAUAUUUGAUGUUUUAUCACUACACUGCAGCAGUUCCUAAACAUUACAUAAAAAUGAACAAUAACAAUUUCCAAUAUGUUAUUUCAAUUUAAUAUUCAAUUUUUUUUUAAGAAUUGUCCUGAACAAUAUUGAUAUCUAUUGAUUGAUAUCAGUAUGCAUUGAAAAUAUUUUUAAAACGAAACUCAACUUUUUGCGCAAAGAUAGAUGAUACAAACGUUUUUAUUAGGUAGCUAUUAGAAUUAAAAUUAAAAUUGUUAAAAAACAAACGAUUCUGAGAAUUAUUACCAUGGCAAGCGGAAUAUUGUUUGUUCAAGUUAACUAUAAAUUUGCUUUACGUUUUAUAUCCCAAAAUGGCAAUUCGAUUUAUUCGACAUUUAUUUUUGGCGAGAAGACAGAAAUAGAGAAAAAUUAGACCCCGUGCUUUUUUAAUCAUUUUCGGGUUAUAAGUUACCUUUUUAAAAUAUUUUUGAAUCCUAUUACAUAAACAUUUUCCAGAGUGUCUCAUUCAUAGUUCAUAUUCUUGCAUUACAAAAACCCAAUAAUUACUCCAAUUAAACUUUAUAAAAACUAUUAAAUAGUGCGCUUUUGAAUUUUAAUUAGGAACACCUUAUUUUGUAAUAUUUUGGAGAAAAAAUUAGUUCAAUGAAAAUCGGCGAUCAUUUAAUCAAAUUACUUUUGCUUAAAUUGCUUCUUUAUUUCCUAUGUUAUUCAUAUCAAAUAUCAAUAUUUUCAAACAAAUAAUGCUCCACUCUUUUAAUAACAAAAAAGGUUACAAAUAAAAUUUAAUAACCUUAUAAUUGGCAAAAAACGAGGAAGGAAACAAAACCAAUAUACGAAUUUUCUUUGUUCUUCUUUAAUUCAUUAAUUAAACCGCACUAAAACAAAAGUUUCUAAACUUACGCGAUUCCGAAACCGUUGAUUUCCAUCUAAAGCUCUAAAGACAUAUGUUAAAUAAUUUAUUUCAAAAAACCGAUAAAAUACAUAUAUGACUCACAAUAGUUUCUUUUCAUGUGGAUAAGUACAUGCUCGAUAUGCAGACUUAUAAAUAAUAUAAAUAAAACAUCAAAGAAACCAGUGGCGGUACAUACCGAUUACAUGGCUCCUCUCUUUAGAAGCUCCUUAUUCUAUGUGAAUGUGGGGUUUCGUAAAAUGAAAAAACACCAUUCCCACAAUUUGCUAAACCGUAUUGUAGCAUUUAGUAUUCGAUUUAGUCAUUUUAAUACAUGGUAAAAAGCGCUGCAUGGGAAACAGUCAAGAAUUCAUCGUUUUGUUAGUUUUGGUUAGUUUGUUUUAGUCCGUUUAAAAGAAGAGAUUACUCCAGAAAGAAAAUUAAACGGAUAGGGAAUUGACCAAGCUGUUAACGCCACUGAGUAGCGGAUAUUCAUACAAUAUUUUGCGGUCGCACAUUUGCACCACCUAUAAGAUACCGACUACAAUAUACAAACGAAUAUGUUUCAGUUGACAAAAAAAACAAUGAUAGUUUGUGGUAUUUGAAGGUUGGAAAAAAAAAGUUUGUCUACUUUUCAAACUAUAUUGUAUUCUAUAUAUUCUGUUAUAGUUCAAAUAAUUAACUUGAUGAUUUCGACCCUACUGGCUGCUAAUUUACCCAGUCUUUUUAAAACUGAUAUUUUUGGAGGCGAUCUCGAUGAUUUUAUUUGGCACCAUGGCAAACAUGAAAGGAAUUAUGUGCCAGUCCACAUAUUUCUUGAGACUACAAAGGAUUUUCAUGGAAGACGAAGCAAUGAUUUUAU